rnacentral:lncRNA from 1 species
GAGGAGCUGGGCUUGACGUCACAUCCGUGUGCAGCAAGGGCCUGGAGCUGCGGCCUUGGCCUCGGCCCUUGCCCUUCUAGGCCGGUGGCCCAGGUUUCCCGCCCCGUCGGGGGGCGCCGGCCUUGGGUCUGACUGUUGUUCGCGGGUUGUGCUUCUGCUGCAGGUGUGUGCAUGGCAGACAAUAGCGGGCUCAAGACUGCACAGCAGGCAGCGGCUGGAGGUGGCCGGCAGCCCCGUGAGAGCCCUCCCUCCCCGCAGGGGAUCCCCACGCUGUGUGGGUCUGACACCAAAACCCACUCAGGUGGUAGCAGACUGCAGCUGGCUGCUUUGGUUUCCCCAAAGACAUGGGUAAGACCCGUCCUCGUGGCCGUGCAUAUGUCUGGUGACUUGGUCUCCACAGAGCACAGCUCCAGGACCCCACAAGGACACCAACCCAUGGACUUACGGUGGCUCACCUCGGGUGGCGUGGUGCUGCGUGCACCCUGCCCCAUCUUGCGUGUCCUCUGAGUCACCUCCAGAGGCCGGAGCACCACGAGUGCCGGGUAAAUGUGCUCUGCUGCUCUGUAGAGGAAGUCGUCAGCCGGA